GACGAACGCUGGCGGCGUGCUUUACACAUGCAAGUCGAACGGCAGCACGGACUUCGGUCUGGUGGCGAGUGGCGAACGGGUGAGUAAUAUAUCGGAACGUGCCCAGUCGUGGGGGAUAACGUAGCGAAAGCUACGCUAAUACCGCAUACGAUCUACGGAUGAAAGCGGGGGAUCGCAAGACCUCGCGCGAUUGGAGCGGCCGAUAUCAGAUUAGGUAGUUGGUGAGGUAAAGGCUCACCAAGCCGACGAUCUGUAGCUGGUCUGAGAGGACGACCAGCCACACUGGGACUGAGACACGGCCCAGACUCCUACGGGAGGCAGCAGUGGGGAAUUUUGGACAAUGGACGCAAGUCUGAUCCAGCCAUUCCGCGUGCAGGACGAAGGCCUUCGGGUUGUAAACUGCUUUUGUACAGAACGAAAAGGUCUCUAUUAAUACUAGGGGCUCAUGACGGUACUGUAAGAAUAAGCACCGGCUAACUACGUGCCAGCAGCCGCGGUAA
rnacentral:rRNA from 1 species